rnacentral:lncRNA from 12 species
AAAUCUCUCUAGAAUUUACUUGGAAAUAUUUCUGAGAUUUUUUUUUAGACUGACCUUUUCUUUUCUUUCUUUCUUUCUUUCUUUCUUUCUUUCUUUCUUUCUUUCUUUCAGAGAGCACAUGUAGGCAGAGAGGCAGAGGGAGAGGGAGAGAAUCUCAAGCAGACUCUGGGCUGAGUGUGGAGCCUGAUAUGGGGCUUGAUCUCACAAUCCUGAGAUCAUGAUCUGAGCUGAAACCAAGAGUCAGAUGUUUAACAGACUGAGCCACCCAAGUACCCCUGAGAUGUUUUUAAUUGGACUUUUCUUCACAAAUGGAGUGGGAAAUAACACCUCUGAGUGAAGACGGAAAAAGAGGUCCUGAUUAUUAGGUGAAUUUGUAGCUGUCCCUCAGACCUUCUCUGGAUGACGCAACACAACCAACUCUGAUGUCAACCCUGAGAAUUUUGCUGCCUGCUUCCAGCUUUGGGAGAUGCAGUUGGGUGGUCAACUCGACGGCCCUGCCGCCCCCCGACUUCUGGCUGGUUCCGGCCACUUUGGGAACCCGGCAGUUGGAUUCUCUAUUUCCCUGGCUCACUCCCUGCUUUGACUGAAGGUCACGGUGCCUCUUCUGAAUCCAGCUCGAACAUUAUUACCAAGAGACUUGUGAGAUGCAUGGCCACCCUGAAAGAAGAUGCUGGCUUUGCUCAAAGUGAUAAAUUGAAAUCCUGGUAUUUCAGAAAACUUAUGGCCACUGCGUAUAGCCAGGGGACCUGGAGACAGAGCGAACUGCAGGUUUGUACAAGAAAAUGUAGAGCUGCCUGGGGUACCGGAGUCUUUUUACUCCCAAGGUAG